CCUACGGGAGGCAGCAGUAGGGAAUCUUCACAAUGGACGAAAGUCUGAUGGAGCAACGCCGCGUGAGUGAAGAAGGUUCUCGGAUCGUAAAACUCUGUUGUGAGGGAAGAACAAGUACCGGAGUAACUGCCGGUACCUUGACGGUACCUAAUUAGAAAGCCACGGCUAACUACGUGCCAGCAGCCGCGGUAAUACGUAGGUGGCAAGCGUUGUCCGGAAUCAUUGGGCGUAAAGCGCGCGCAGGCGGUCCCUUAAGUCUGAUGUGAAAGCCCACGGCUCAACCGUGGAGGGUCAUUGGAAACUGGGGGACUUGAGUGCAGAAGAGGAAAGCGGAAUUCCAAGUGUAGCGGUGAAAUGCGUAGAGAUUUGGAGGAACACCAGUGGCGAAGGCGGCUUUCUGGUCUGUAACUGACGCUGAGGCGCGAAAGCGUGGGGAGCAAACAGGAUUAGAUACCCUGGUAGUCCACGCCGUAAACGAUGAGUGCUAAGUGUUAGGGGGUUUCCGCCCCUUAGUGCUGCAGCUAACGCAUUAAGCACUCCGCCUGGGGAGUACGGUCGCAAGACUGAAACUCAAAGGAAUUGACGG
rnacentral:rRNA from 1 species